ACUCCUACGGGAGGCAGCAGUGAGGAAUAUUGGUCAAUGGAGGGAACUCUGAACCAGCCAUCCCGCGUGUAGGAAGACGGCCUUAUGGGUUGUAAACUACUUUUAUACAGGAAGAAACGUACCCUCGUGAGGGUGCCUGACGGUACUGUAGGAAUAAGCACCGGCUAACUCCGUGCCAGCAGCCGCGGUAAUACGGAGGGUGCGAGCGUUAUCCGGAUUUAUUGGGUUUAAAGGGUCCGUAGGCGGAUUAAUAAGUCAGUGGUGAAAUCCCAUCGCUUAACGAUGGAACUGCCAUUGAUACUGUUAGUCUUGAAUGAGGGUGCAGUGGUUGGAAUGUGUAGUGUAGCGGUGAAAUGCAUAGAUAUUACACAGAACACCGAUUGCGAAGGCAGAUCACUAACCCUAAAUUGACGCUGAGGGACGAAAGCGUGGGGAGCGAACAGGAUUAGAUACCCUGGUAGCACAGGAGAGUC
rnacentral:rRNA from 1 species